AUUGAACGCUGGCGGCAGGCCUAACACAUGCAAGUCGAGCGGAUGAAGGGAGCUUGCUCCUGGAUUCAGCGGCGGACGGGUGAGUAAUGCCUAGGAAUCUGCCUGGUAGUGGGGGAUAACGUCCGGAAACGGGCGCUAAUACCGCAUACGUCCUGAGGGAGAAAGUGGGGGAUCUUCGGACCUCACGCUACCAGAUGAGCCUAGGUCGGAUUAGCUAGUUGGUGGGGUAAAGGCCUACCAAGGCGACGAUCCGUAACUGGUCUGAGAGGAUGAUCAGUCACACUGGAACUGAGACACGGUCCAGACUCCUACGGGAGGCAGCAGUGGGGAAUAUUGGACAAUGGGCGAAAGCCUGAUCCAGCCAUGCCGCGUGUGUGAAGAAGGUCUUCGGAUUGUAAAGCACUUUAAGUUGGGAGGAAGGGCAGUAAGUUAAUACCUUGCUGUUUUGACGUUACCAACAGAAUAAGCACCGGUUAACUUCGUG
rnacentral:rRNA from 1 species